AGUGAACGCUGGCGGUAGGCCUAACACAUGCAAGUCGAACGGCAGCACAGUAAGAGCCUGCUCUUACGGGUGGCGAGUGGCGGACGGGUGAGGAAUACAUCGGAAUCUACUUUUUCGUGGGGGAUAACGUAGGGAAACUUACGCUAAUACCGCAUACGACCUACGGGUGAAAGCAGGGGAUCUUCGGACCUUGCGCGAUUGAAUGAGCCGAUGUCGGAUUAGCUAGUUGGCGGGGUAAAGGCCCACCAAGGCGACGAUCCGUAGCUGGUCUGAGAGGAUGAUCAGCCACACUGGAACUGAGACACGGUCCAGACUCCUACGGGAGGCAGCAGUGGGGAAUAUUGGACAAUGGGCGCAAGCCUGAGCCAGCAAUACCGCGUGGGUGAAGAAGGCCUUCGGGUUGUAAAGCCCUUUUGUUGGGAAAGAAAAGCAGCAGGUUAAUACCCCGCUGUUCUGACGGUACCCAAAGAAUAAGCACCGGCUAACUUCGU
rnacentral:rRNA from 1 species